GUAGAAAACCCCGACGAUCCAAUGGAGGAAGACUCCGUUAGCCCCGCUACUGUCUUUUGUAUCAGGCUUAAGCAGCCUCGCUCUAAUUUGCAGUAUAAGAUGAGCGUGCCUGAGCUUUGUCGUAAUUUUAGUGCUGUUGCUUGGUGCGGGAAGUUGAAUGCUAUAGCUUGUGCAUCAGAGACUUGUGCAAGAAUCCCAAGCUCCAAUGCAAACCCUCCAUUUUGGAUCCCCAUACAUAUUGUUAUCCCUGAAAGACCAACUGAAUGUGCAGUUUUCAAUGUGAUAGCAGAUUCUCCUCGUGACUCUGUUCAGUUCAUUGAAUGGUCCCCUACUUCUUGCCCACGUGCCUUACUGAUAGCUAAUUUUCAUGGGAGGAUAACUAUCUGGACUCAGCCUUCUCAAGGUCCAGCUAAUUUAGUGCGAGAUGCUAGCUGUUGGCAGCGUGAGCAUGAAUGGCGUCAGGAUAUUGCAGUUGUUACCAAGUGGUUAUCUGGGGUCUCUCCUUAUAGGUGGCUUUCAUCAAAAUCCAGCAGUUCCUCAAAUUCAAAGUCAACAUUUGAGGAAAAAUUCCUUUCACAUCAAUCUCAAACUUCAGCUAGGUGGCCUAAUUUCCUUUGCGUUUGUUCCGUAUUCUCAUCGGGGUCUGUACAACUUCAUUGGUCCCAGUGGCCUCCUAGUCAGAGUAAUGCAACACCAAAGUGGUUUUGCACAAGCAAGGGACUCUUGGGUGCUGGGCCUAGUGGGAUUAUGGCUGCUGAUGCUAUCGUAACAGAUAGUGGUGCCAUGCACGUUGCAGGUGUUCCUAUUGUAAACCCAUCUACCAUUGUUGUUUGGGAGGUUACUCCUGGCCCUGGACCUGGCUUUCAAGCAACUCCGAAGACAAGUACCAGCACAGGGCUCCCACCUUCUCUCAACCCACCUAAUUGGUCAGGUUUUGCUCCAUUGGCUGCUUAUCUAUUCAGCUGGCAGGAAUAUCUAAUAUCUGAAGCAAAGCAGGAGAAAAAGCAUACUGAUCAAGAUUUCAGUGACACAGUAUCACUUCACUGCUCACCUGUUUCAAAUUUUUCUGCAUAUGUUAGUCCUGAGGCUGCAGCACAGUCUGCAGCAACCACUACUUGGGGCUCUGGAGUUACCGCUGUUGCUUUUGAUCCAACUCGUGGUGGUUCUGUGAUAGCUGUUGUGAUAGUUGAAGGGCAGUAUAUGUCUCCUUAUGAUCCAGAUGAGGGUCCUUCAAUCACAGGAUGGAGAGUGCAGCGAUGGGAAUCAUCUCUUCAGCCUGUUGUUCUGCAUCAAAUAUUUGGAAAUCCUACUUCCAGCUUUGGUGGGCAGGCACCCAUGCAAACUGUAUGGGUAUCCAAAGUGGAUACAAGCAUACCUCCAACAAAUGAUUUUAAAAAUCAUCAAGCGGUUGCAGCAGGGCCC
rnacentral:misc_RNA from 1 species